GUGACAAAUGUGCACCCAACACCCUACAGAAAAGAAGAACCAUAAAAUAAUUAAUUAUUCCAUUGUAACUCCUGCCUGGAAAACAUCUGAAAGAAGUCACUAGAUUCAGCCCACAUUCAAGAUGAGAAAUACCAGAAGGCAGAGAACACUGAGGCUGUUUUAGAGGCUGUCAACCCCAGGGAGACAGACAGCAAAUAAGUAAGCAAAUAAAUAAAAAUGGAAGGUGAUAAUAAGUGCAAUGAAAAGAAAUGAAGCAGAGUAAAGAAUCAAGAGUAGCAGUUGAGGGGAUGCUUGGAUGUUUUCACACCACUCUGACACAUGGAUGGAAGGUUAGAAGACAACAAAGGAAUGGGCUGGGAAGGACUCCAAAAGCAGAAUCAGAGAUUAUAUCAUUCCUUGGAAAUGGAGAAAAGGAUCAAAAAAGCUGAAUAAAAGGCAAACAUGGAGGAACAGAGUUUGGAGCAAUACCCUGACUUACAUUCAGUACUGUUAAUGGCUCCAGCAUCUUGAAACAAACCAAUUUUGGAUUUUCAGAGCUAAGAGGGCCAACCUUUCUCACAAUAAAGUCAAGGCAGCCACUUUCUUCUCCAUGGGUUGAGUUGGCGUGAAAAGAAGACUCCUGGCAGAAUGCAACUUGAACCUGAAGAGCUUUAUUCAAGAACAAUUGAAACUGGAAAUUAUGUUUCUAACAUCACACUGCCUUGUACUUCAUGCGCUUUAUUCUACAGAGUACUUUAAGGCUACACCUACACCUCAGAAUGUUUGAAUUUAUUCAAGAAACAAAACUAGGUUAAAUAAUAAUAUAAAAUGAUGACAAUGAUAAUAAUAAUAAUAAUUGAUGUUAUUGCUAUGGAGCUGAGUAGAAAGAAAGUACUUUUUUGGUUAAAAGAUCUCAAGUUGGCCAGGCGCAAUGGCUUACACCU
rnacentral:lncRNA from 1 species